GAAGCUUUCCCGGUGAAUAGUUUCCAAUAGCUUAUGUUCUAAUUAAUUGAUUCUCUCCCGUCUUUAUCACCAAAAACACUACUGCCUUGCCUUCGAAAUCUCGUCUCAUACUCCAGUUUACCUGAUUGUGAAGAAAGAUGACAAAGAGCUGCUUCAAGCUAGAGCAUGAUUUUUUUUUAGGUGAUUUUAUCUUAGUUUUUCCUAUCCCUAAUUGUUUUUUUAUUGGUUUUUAUGUUUCUGAUUGAAAAUAAUAUCGUGUCUGCAGAGGAGAGGCGCGCUGAGGCUGCAAGAAUUAGGGAGAAAUACCCAGGUAGAAUUCCGGUAAUUGUGGAGAAGGCUGAGAGAAGUGACAUCCCCAAAAUUGACAAGAAAAAGUAAGACUCAAUUUCAUGCUGCAAAUUUUUCCCCAUCAAUUUCUUGUAUUUACCAUGAAUUUGUUUUGAAUCUUCAUUUGAUGGAUAUUAGACUUGAAAUGCAUGAUGAUAUGUCUUCAUUUUGACAUUGGUUUAAAAUUUUAAGAUGACCUGACUGUGGGUCAGUUUGUGUAUGUAAUCCGGAAGAGAAUUAAACUGAGUGCAGAAAAGGCAAUCUUCAUAUUUGUGGACAAUGUCCUUCCACCAACAGGGGCAGUAAUGUCUACAAUAUAUGAUGAAAAGGAGGAUGCAGAUGGAUUUCUGUAUGUCGCAUACAGUGGCGAGAACACAUUUGGGAGCAGAUGCUGCCGUAGCUCAAGUACUUUUAGCGCAUUCCAUUCUUUGUGAUGCGUUCAUGAGUUUCUCAUCUUCAUGAUGACUUGGCAAAAGCUGUGCAAGUCUUUCCAUGCCUUGAACAGUUCUAGUGUCAUAUCUAAUUUCAUUGACCUUGCCUGUCUUUCAUGUGCAGUUAUAUUUUGUAUAUAUUCUUUUACGGUUCAAUCAACAAAAUAUUCCCUAUCAGGGAGUGCUAGUGGCAGUGCAUAAGCAUCUUGAGGACUUCAGGGAGGCCAACUCCAUCGAGCGAUUGAAUGUUGUGCCUAGCAUAAUUCAAAUAGGAAGAUGGUUACCAGCUCCCCAGUCUAUAAUUAAACUAAAUGUUGAUGCUGAAGUUGAUAGAAAUAGGAAUGGGUGCUAUUGAUGUGGUUGGACGAGAUCCUUAUGGUAAAAUACUGGACUGGUGCUGCUGUCUGUGGCCAUCCAUUGAAGAUCCUUUGCUGUUGGAAAGCUGAGCAUGCCGUGAAGCUCUCAUCUUUGCAAGAAGUAGGGGGUUUUCGAAAGUAAUUUGUAAAAGGCGAUUCAGUCAUAGUUUACUCAUAUAGGGGCCAUCCAAUUCCUAUUGCUAUCCAGGAGACCGUAGCAGAUGGUUUGGAGCUUUUGAAGCGGCUGCAGGAGGUUCAUUUUUCUGCAGUCAAAUGUCGAUGUAACCAAGCAUCCAUAUUGCAUAGAUGGACUUUGUUCUUAACUUCCUACCACCUUGAUGGUGGAGUUCUUGAAUGAAUCCUUUAUCUUUGAAAAAAAAAAAAAAAGAGAGACUAA